GAUGAACGCUGGCGGCGUGCCUAAUACAUGCAAGUCGAGCGAACGGACGAGAAGCUUGCUCCUCUGAUGUUAGCGGCGGACGGGUGAGUAACACGUGGAUAACCUACCUAUAAGACUGGGAUAACUACGGGAAACCGCAGCUAAUACCGGAUAAUAUUUUGAACCGCAUGGAUCAAAAGUGAAAGACGGUUUUGCUGUCUCUUAUAGAUGGAUCCGCGCUGCAUUAGCUAGUUGGUAAGGUAACGGCUUACCAAGGCAACGAUGCGUAGCCGACCUGAGAGGGUGAUCGGCCACACUGGAACUGAGACACGGUCCAGACUCCUACGGGAGGCAGCAGUAGGGAAUCUUCCGCAAUGGGCGAAAGCCUGACGGAGCAACGCCGCGUGAGUGAUGAAGGUCUUCGGAUCGUAAAACUCUGUUAUUAGGGAAGAACAUAUGUGUAAGUAACUCUGCACGUCUUGACGGUACCUAAUCAGAAAGCCACGGCUAACUACGUG
rnacentral:rRNA from 1 species